CCCUUAGAUGUUCUGGGCUGCACGCGCGCUACACUGACACACCCAGCGAGUCUCCUGCCCUGACAGGGUUGGGUAAUCAUUGGAGUGUGUGUCGUGAUGGGGAUAGAGUAUUGCAAUUAUUGCUCUCGAACGAGGAAUUCCUAGUAAGCACAAGUCAGCAGCUUGUGCUGAUUGCGUCCCUGCCCUUUGUACACACCGCCCGUCGCUCCUACCGAGGGGGUGAUCCGGUGAAUGAUUCGGACUUUGGCGUUUCUAGCUGCUAGCAGCGCUGAAGAAAGUUUUGUGAACCUUAUCACUUGGAGGAAGGAGAAGUCGUAACA
rnacentral:rRNA from 1 species